rnacentral:rRNA from 1 species
CAUAGCGACUAUCGUGGCAUAUCAAUAAGCGGAGGAAAAGAAACUAACAAGGAUUCCCCUAGUAACGGCGAGUGAAGCGGGAAGAGCUCAAAUUUGAAAUCUUAAAGGGUUUCCCUUUACGAAUUGUAGUUUAAAGAAGUGUUUUCUGUUGGAGUUUCGGUAAAAGUUCUUUGGAAUAGGACAUCAUAGAGGGUGAGAAUCCCGUAUUUGACCGUUACUUUCCAGCUGUGUGAUACACUUUCAAAGAGUCGGAUUGUUUGGGAAUGCAGUCCAAAAUGGGUGGUAAAUUUCAUCUAAAGCUAAAUAUUGGCGAGAGACCGAUAGCGAACAAGUACCGUGAGGGAAAGAUGAAAAGAACUUUGAAAAGAGAGUUAAACAGUACGUGAAAUUGUCAAAAGGGAAGCGUUUGACACCAGUGUUGUUUAGUUGAAAAUCAAUUCAAUAAUUUUUGAUUUUGAGUAGUAUUGACUUCAUCAGCUUGCUGCUUUCUUUUCCGAAAUUAUUGAAUGCACUUUUCAGUUAACAAGUCAACAUCAAUUUCUUUUGUUGUAAAAGGGUAAGAGGAAGGUGGCUUACGCUUCGGCGUAAGUGUUUAUAGCCUUUUACCUCUGCAAUCGGAGAGAUUGAGGACAGCAGCGUAGACUCUUCGGGGUUAGAUACACUUGUGCUAAGCUAUAGCCUUGUAUAGACAACUUGUUGACUAUGCUCAGUCAUGUAGCUUACUCGCUUGUGCUAUUUACCUACGCUUAGGAUGUUGAUAGUCACAGCGUGUAC